rnacentral:misc_RNA from 1 species
UUUCCGUAGGUGAACCUGCGGAAGGAUCAUUAAUGUGUUUGGGCCUCACGGCUCUUCAUUCCGACGCUGUGCGCCUUCGGGCUGCACGCUGAGGGAGCAUAUAUCCACCCCUGUGCACACACACGGUGGCGAGCUGGGUAACGGCUCGCCGCUGAUCUUUACACACGUCUAAAAGUCAUUGUAUGUUUAUGUGAGAUAAAGACACAACUUUCAGCAACGGAUCUCUUGGCUCUC